CCAUCCUACGGGGCGCAGCAGUGAGGAAUAUUGGUCAAUGGCCGAGAGGCUGAACCAGCCAAGCCGCGUGAGGGAAGACGGCCCUAUGGGUUGUAAACCUCUUUUGUCGGAGAACAAAACCCGGGACGUGUCCCGGACUGCGUGUAUCCGAAGAAAAAGCAUCGGCUAACUCCGUGCCAGCAGCCGCGGUAAUACGGAGGAUGCGAGCGUUAUCCGGAUUUAUUGGGUUUAAAGGGUGCUUAGGCGGUCUGUUAAGUCAGCGGU
rnacentral:rRNA from 1 species